rnacentral:rRNA from 1 species
UACGUAGGGUGCAAGCGUUAAUCGGAAUUACUGGGCGUAAAGCGUGCGCAGGCGGUUAUGUAAGACAGUUGUGAAAUCCCCGGGCUCAACCUGGGAACUGCAUCUGUGACUGCAUAGCUAGAGUACGGUAGAGGGGGAUGGAAUUCCGCGUGUAGCAGUGAAAUGCGUAGAGAUCGGAAAGAACACCAACGGCGAAAGCACUCUGCUGGGCCGACACUGACACUGAGAGACGAAAGCUAGGGGAGCGAAUGGG